rnacentral:rRNA from 1 species
UACAGAGGUCUCAAGCGUUGUUCGGAUUUAUUGGGCGUAAAGGGCGUGUAGGCGGCGCGCUAAGUCGGGUGUGAAAUUUCGGAGCUUAACUCCGAAACUGCAUUCGAUACUGGCGUGCUUGAGGACUGGAGAGGAGACUGGAAUUCAUGGUGUAGCAGUGAAAUGCGUAGAGAUCAUGAGGAAGACCAGUGGCGAAGGCGGGUCUCUGGACAGUUCCUGACGCUGAGACACGAAGGCCAGGGGAGCAAACGGG